CUUCCCGUGACGCGUGAAAGGGCGUGGCCACAUCAUGGCGCAGUGCAUGUGCGGCUGCUCGGAGCGGAGCUAGGGACCUUCCAGGAAAAAAUGCUGAAAGAUCCCAAUACCCACCAAUAUUAAGAUAAAAUGAUUGCUGCUGGUGACCUUUGCCUUGAAGACAUUGAAGAUAUUGUGUCGGCAGAAGAUCCAAAGCCCUUUGAUCGUCAGUUCAGUAGAAAAAACAUUAUUCCUAAAGUGCGAAAACGCCAGUCACAAAAGAACGUGGAAGUGGAUGAUCCUCCCCCUAGAGAUAGUGUGAUUCCCGGUAUACAGAAAAUUUGGAUACGUACAUGGGGAUGUUCCCAUAAUAGUUCAGAUGGCGAAUACAUGGCUGGACAGCUAGCCGCUUAUGGAUACGGUAUAACAGAAAAUGCAGCAGAAGCCGACCUUUGGCUAUUGAACAGCUGUACAGUAAAAAGCCCUGCUGAAGACCACUUUCGGAACUCAAUUAAGAAAGCACAAGAAGGAAAAAAGAAAGUUGUCCUAGCUGGAUGUGUUCCACAAGCCCAGCCCCGACAAGACUAUCUGCAAGGCCUGAGCAUUAUUGGGGUUCAACAGAUAGAUCGUGUAGUGGAAGUUGUUGAGGAAACUAUUAAGGGUCAUUCUGUGAGAUUGCUAGGACAGAAAAAGGAUAAUGGGAAACGGCUGGGGGGAGCGCGACUGGAUUUGCCAAAGAUUAGAAAGAACCCCCUGAUAGAAAUCAUUUCCAUCAAUACAGGGUGUCUGAAUGCAUGUACUUAUUGCAAAACUAAGCAUGCCCGAGGGGAAUUAGCAAGUUAUUCUAUUGAAGAACUGGUAAACAGAGGCAAACAAUCCUUUGAAGAAGGAGUAUGCGAGAUAUGGCUGACCAGCGAAGAUACCGGGGCUUAUGGCAGAGACAUUGGCACAGACCUCCCGACUCUCUUGUGGAAGCUAGUGGAAGUGAUCCCUGAGGGAGCAAUGCUAAGGCUUGGCAUGACCAACCCGCCGUAUAUUUUAGAGCAUCUGGAGGAAAUGGCAAAAAUUCUCAACCACCCGAGAGUCUACUCUUUUCUACAUGUACCAGUUCAAUCCGCUUCUGAUAGCGUAUUGAUGGACAUGAAGAGAGAAUAUUGUGUAGCUGAUUUCAAACGUGUGGUGGAUUUUCUUAAAACUAGAGUACCUGGAAUAACAAUUGCUACAGACAUCAUUUGUGGGUUUCCAGGGGAAACUGAUGAAGAUUUUCAAGAAACCAUGAAACUUGUUGAAGAAUACAGGUUUCCAAGUCUUUUUAUUAACCAGUUUUAUCCACGCCCUGGGACUCCAGCUGCAAAAAUGCCUCAGGUUCCAGCUCAAAUAAAGAAACAAAGAACAAAAGAACUGUCCAAACUAUUUCAUUCAUACAAUCCAUAUGAUCACAAGCUUACCGUCAAGAAACUAAACAGACCAUUCAUGAUGAAGUUUUGGAAACAACUGAAAAGGAUUCUAAUUUCCUGGCAAAAGGAUAGUUGCAUACUGGACAGAAUCACUAGAUGGGUCAAUUUCAACAUGUUAUAGUUACGGAAAGUAUAAAAUUUCAUGCUCUGGAAUAGUGAAGCAAUUGAGCCAAACAUGCUGAAUCUAUUUAAACAGAACCUGCAAAACUCAGGAAAGGAGGACUAUAUAUAUAUAUAUUUUUAAAGCAUUACUUCACAAAAAUUUCAAAAUAUUGAUUCACCUUCCCUCCAUGGAGAAUGCAGAAUAUAUUAUACAGUUUAGUUUCCUAUUAACGUUAUAAUAGUGAUCAUUGUUCUGUACUAUAUCUCUUUAUAAUAUUUUAUGCUUUAUCAAAAAUGGCAAUGUGAAUUGUUUCCUGGGCAUAUUUUGUACAUUGAUAUUUAGUAUGUUGUAUAUUUUAUCACAUAAUAACAUUUCAAUAUCUUAUGCACAUCAUCUUCUGAAAGUUUCCCUCCAGUUAUCUAUUGCUUGAGAAAUGCAAAUUCAAUAUAUAGGUUGGGAGUUGAAUUCAUGAUAUUUUCAUCAAGCUUAUCUCCCCACAAGUGCUGGGCUACACAUCUGUUAUACAUGCCAUUAUUUUUUUCAAGCUUUCAUUUCCUGAUGUGGACUCUGGAAGAAUUUGAUAAAUUGUUUAUAAUGGUUAGGAACUGAAUAUGAUUUUUUUUCUGAUUUUUCAUGAAACUGGCUUGGCUUAUUCUAGAACUUGAUUCAUUCUAAAAUUCUAGUAUCAACUAUCUGUUCUAUUCACAACUCAACUAUCUGUGCUGUUCACCAUAUCAUUAUGUCCUUCAGCCUAGGCAUCCAUCUUCUAGUCCACCACUUUUCUACAAGUAGGAGUCACAAGUUCUCCAUUGUCCUGCCCCAGUUCACCUCUAUUUAACAAUCAUAUUAGCUUUCUUUCCAGUCAAAGCUUCAAGAUUUCUUGGAGGGCUUCCUUUAUGUUCAGUUGAAUCAAUGACUACAUAGACUGAAAGAAUAUGCAUCAGAGGUUUUAUUAAUUGUGUAAUUCACCUAUAAGUGAAUCCAUGUGCCAGAAAUAAUAUUCAAUUGCAGAGAAGAAUACUCAGACAAUUAAGAACUUGACUAAAUUUGUUAAUUAAGGAAAAGUAGGGUUGCUUUGAUUUUCUUUUCGGUUAAUGAAUUUCUUACAAAGUAGGAUUUCUCUAGCACACUAAAUGUUCACGAAACAUGGUGUCCAAUCAGAUGCCUUACCUUUUCUUUAAAAGGGGGCUAAUAUCUAUUUGAAACAGUGCAGUAUCACAAAUAAUUUAACCGAAAAUCUAAAUAACAGGCCACCGUAAAGGUUCAGUGCUAUCAGUUUACAUAGAAGACCAGGAAUUGAUAUGUUUUAGUUUGUUCUAGACAAAAAGAAGUGUCAUUGGAGAAGACCUUGAUGCAUGAAAAAAUCGAACACAAUCAAAAUAGUGGUUGACAGAAGACAAGGAUGGGAAAUUAGAGGCGCCACAUUCUGACUUGGCAUUGAAGUACCUAUAGGGUUGCCUCCUCCAACCAGUAUUGGCGCACCCACGGCAAAAAAAAACUCCUGAUGAUAAUCCCGUAUUAGUGAAGUGAGAUGAGAUUGGGGAGAGACAGAAAGUGCUUGUUACAGAAGAAUCCUUUGAUUCCAAAUUUUAUGUUGCUCAUAAUAAAUUCUACGAACAG